GCCUUCGUGGUGUAGUGGUCAGCACGCUUGACGAGUAUUUGAGAGGUCCGUGGUUCGAGUCUCGGUGAGGGCA
rfam:Stegodyphus mimosarum contig51860, whole genome shotgun sequence.